CAUUCUGUACAUAGAUGCAGUUUCUGCAGUUUGUUUUGGUAUUCCUUUGGGUAAACUUUGGAAUUAUGUUUGAUGAAUGUGCUUAUUCUGUCUUCAUUCAAGGGUUAGGGGUAUGUUCUUAUUUUUUUCUUUUAGGUGGCUGAAAGGUGUGGAAGGUAUAUAUUAUAUGUGCAGAUUCUACAGUAAUGUUGCAAGGUGCAGAGAGGCUAAUUUGGUGAUACAUGAAGCUGAGAUUAAAGUGGAUAGGCUAAAUCUUUGGUUAAUAUUGCAAUAGUGUGUUUUUGGACGUCAAAUUACACCUUGGAGGGCUGCAGCAGGUGGUUAAAGGUGCAAAAGGAUUGUUGCUACUAACACAGGUGUUUCACUUUUAUGCUGAUAAGGAAAACAAUGCUAGUGAUGCCAACAUGCUGCACCCGUCCAACAUAUAUACUUUGUCCUCCCAGAUCACCACAUUUGCAAUAGCAGCCAAAAAAUUAGCCUAACCAAUUUAAUCUGUGCUUCAUCACUCU
rnacentral:lncRNA from 1 species